UGCAAAAUCUAUAUUGUCAUC
rnacentral:piRNA from 1 species